rnacentral:rRNA from 1 species
UCGAGAGGCUUCGGCAAUGGGGGAAACCCUGACCGAGCGACGCCGCGUGGGUGAUGAAGAUUCUCGGAUCGUAAAACCCUGUCAGGUGGGAUGAAAAACCAUUCGGUUAAUACCCGAGUGGCUUGACAGUACCACCAGAGGAAGCUCCGGCCAACUCCGUGCCAGCAGCCGCGGUAACACGGGGGGAGCAAGCGUUGUUCGGAUUCAUUGGGCGUAAAGAGCUCGUAGGCCGCUCUGUAAGUCGGAAGUGAAAGACCACGGCUCAACCGUGGAAACGCUUUCGAAACUGUGGAGCUUGAGGCCGGGAGAGGAGAUCGGAAUUCCUGGUGUAGCAGUGAAAUGCGUAGAUAUCAAGAGGAACACCUGAGGUGAAGACGGGUUGCUGGGCUGACACUGACGCUGAGGCGCGAAAGCCAGGGGAGCAAACGGGAUUAGAUACCCAGGUAGUCCCUGAGCGGGCUGGCAAGGCGCAU